UCGGGAAGAGAGACCAGGGGAAACUUUCCCCUCAAAACCCUUACAUCAUAAAAUCCAUCAAAUUAAGAGGGGAAUUGAAGGUUAAUCGAAUGCAUGAACUAGGAAUGUUGAUCACCUAAGUAUCUCCAACAUCAAGCACGAAGAAAGAAGAAGGCACGAGUCAUUUGAAGUCACAAGCAACGCAAGACCACGGUAAAUCCCACUCUUGAUGAUGCGAGCUCGGACCGAACACACUACAUCGCCCUUUAUGCGCUUCUGGUUAAG